rnacentral:rRNA from 1 species
UGGGGAAUAUUGGACAAUGGGCGCAAGCCUGAUCCAGCCAUGCCGCGUGAGUGAUGAAGGCCCUAGGGUUGUAAAGCUCUUUCACCGGUGAAGAUAAUGACGGUAACCGGAGAAGAAGCCCCGGCUAACUUCGUGCCAGCAGCCGCGGUAAUACGAAGGGGGCUAGCGUUGUUCGGAUUUACUGGGCGUAAAGCGCACGUAGGCGGACUUUUAAGUCAGGGGUGAAAUCCCGGGGCUCAACCCCGGAACUGCCUUUGAUACUGGAAGUAUUGAGUAUGGUAGAGGUGAGUGGAAUUCCGAGUGUAGAGGUGAAAUUCGUAGAUAUUCGGAGGAACACCAGUGGCGAAGGCGGCUCACUGGACCAUUACUGACGCUGAGGUGCGAAAGCGUGGGGAGCAAACAGG